CACUCUGGAAGAGGAAGGUUGUCAACAUUGGAUUGUUUCAAAAGAUGCGAAUUUGUAUUUCCUUUUCACGAAGAGGUGACUGUGGCAUCUAUUGAGGAGACAACCGCGCGGAAGGACAAAGUAUGAAUUGUAUUGUGGUGAUUCAGAUUGAUGUUCCGAUUACGGACCCCCGGGAAAUUGACAACAGUCUCAUCGGAAUCCUUUAUGGCCUGGUGAAAUUGAGGGGCGAAAUGGUAAAAGGCUUCCGAUCAUUUCCUUUUUGACCUCAAUUUCAACUGCCCACAAAAUAUUACACAGAUGUGCACCCCAUUUAUCCAUCAUUUGUGUUGACGGAUUAAGGUAUGGUUGAGAGACCCAAGACUUUGAACACCUCCGAGAUCACAAGGUACAGAUUUCCCGACGAAAAAAAAGUCAAAAUUCUGAAAAAUUUUCAAAGUCCAAAAAGUUUUGGGACUGACGAUGUUAGUUCAUUUUGAGCAGAAAACAAAAAACCAGUGAAAAAUAUUUUUUGACUUAGAAAUUUUUUCCGGGUUAGGGUAAGGGUUAGUAGAAAAAAAGCCAAAAUUUUGAAAACUUUUCAAAGUCAAAAAAGUUUUGGGACUGAUGAUGUUGGUUCAUUUUGAGCAGAAAACAAAAGUGAAAAAAAUGUUUGGACUUAGAAAUGUUUUCAUCCUUCAGAGUUGAAUGGAGCCUGGAUACCUACCUCUCCAGACACAUUAAAGAGUAUGGUCAAUGUUAUACCAUACACAAGAAGGAGAGACAUGAGUGCGAUGCUUGGAGCUUGGUACAUCCGGGUGAUUUGCAGAUCAGCUGAAAGAACCAGACGGUGAUAAAACAAGAGGCGGUAUCCAACAUCCAGUGGCCAGCUUUCGGAAAGACAGGGCAGCAUCUGAUGGCACAUGCACGAACUGAGUAUUUCCAAGUUUGACAACCAUCGAUAGCCAAUCAACACCACAAAAUUACGCAAUUUGGUGGGAAACGGGAGUAAUCGAUAAUACGCAAUAAUCAAGCGAACCGUCCUGCAGAAAAGCUAACGAGAUAAAACUCGGUCAGAACUAAACACAGAAAACGCCAAUGCACUCGAUUCCAGAUCUGUACAUGACUGAUACAUCACAAGAGAAUACACUUAUUGUCCAACACCGCUUUAUACACAACAAACCGCAAUCAAAGUAGGGACCGGCGAUAAUAUUUGCAAA